rnacentral:lncRNA from 1 species
CUUUGGUAUCCACAUGAGGCAGUGAAGCUCUUCGAGGGAAUGUGGCUGUUAACCUGUGUGUGUCAAGGGAUCCUUGAGAGCAAUAUGGUACCUCUCGAGCUGUGAAUUCAGAAGGGAUGGACGUGGACGGCCAGCAUCAGCUCACCAUGUUCCAGGUGGUCCAUCAACAAGAAGUGUGACUGCCUACAGAGAACCCCAGAAGACUGAGGAAUGGCAUGGUUACUUAUGCUGCAAAACGAUCUGAUUGAGAAGCUCCUAGUGACAGGGUAACAAGAAAAGGUGAAGGCAAUAAACAAACAUACAGAGACACAGACCUAACGAGCAGCGAUGGAGAAUGCGAGGAGAAACAAAACUCACUGGUCACACCGAUUGACGGGCUAUCCCAGGAAGACCAACCUGGACUUUGCAAAUGAAACUCAGAAAAGAACAUUCAGAACAGGGCCAGUAUUGGGCUUCAGAGAAACCACAAAAUCUGACCAUCUAACUCCUCAUCAGUGACGAGAAAAUGGUCGGUUUCCACUCACUCUCCUGGGAUACAGACAUCUUGAAUGUCAUCUGAUUAGGAAAAUGGUGGGAAAUAGGACUAAUUCUCUCUACAACAGUAAUCAUCGCAACUGACACCUACCAAAUCUUAGCAUUUAUAAAGACUUUGUAUGGUGUUAGUCAGUGGUGGAUUCAGGGACAGUAGCUGUGCAGUGCACAGUGCCAGUGCAGCGAUGUCUUCAGGCCACUUGACUGCAGUGUAACUGGUUCCUGUCUCUGCUUUCUUACCAACUGAAUGUGUCUAGAUUUCAUCUUUCCUUGCUGACGCUAAUGGAUGUUGAUGGAGUAAGUGUUGCUACUGCGAAUGCCUGCAGAACAUUUCAUCACACACCAUGUGACACUUGAAUAAAUAUACCAGAGUAAGACA